rnacentral:lncRNA from 1 species
CAUUGCUCCAGGAAAGCCACUCUCAUCAAGCUCACCAAUGACCUCCAGGUGCAAGGAGACCACUGAAGAGGCCCUUUCAAAAGAUCAGAUGACAGAUGACAGACAAGGUGGUAACAGUGAAGAGGGUAUGAACUUCCACACAGCACAAAGGAUUUGCCUAAACAUUGUGCUAAGAGACGUGACCAAACUUUAGCCUGGCUGCCACCUGCACUAUACCAUGUCCCUUAAGGUGACACACAAUGCCACCAAACCAUGAAAUAUACAUUGUUCCAACCCACAAUCCCAAACCAUUUUCAGUAAUUCUUCACGUACUGCCCUCUGUAAUUUUCUAUUGCUCCACAGCUCCCUUAAUCUUUUUUUUUAUUUCCUCCUUUUUACUUCCCCAGAGCUCCUUUGUGUUUUCUCUGUUUUCCCUUUAAAACCCUCUGUCACAUUUGUCUUAGCUGGAGUUGAGCUCAGUGUAUACUGUGUCUCUCUCCCCUGUUGAAGUAGUCUGAAUAAAAUCUGUCUUGCC